rnacentral:rRNA from 1 species
AGAGUUUGAUCAUGGCUCAGGACGAACGCUGGCGGCGUGCCUAACACAUGCAAGUCGAGCGGGAGACUUCGGUCUCCAGCGGCGGACGGGUGAGUAACACGUGGGUAACCUGCCUUGUAGAGGGGGAUAGCCUUCCGAAAGGAAGAUUAAUACCGCAUAACAUUAUGCUUUUGCAUGAGAGUAUAAUCAAAGGAGCAAUCCGCUACAAGAUGGACCCGCGGCGCAUUAGCUAGUUGGUGAGGUAACGGCUCACCAAGGCGACGAUGCGUAGCCGGCCUGAGAGGGUGAACGGCCACAUUGGAACUGAGACACGGUCCAGACUCCUACGGGAGGCAGCAGUGGGGAAUAUUGCACAAUGGGCGAAAGCCUGAUGCAGCAACGCCGCGUGAGUGAUGAAGGCCUUCGGGUUGUAAAGCUCUGUCUUCUGGGACGAUAAUGACGGUACCAGAGGAGGAAGCCACGGCUAACUACGUGCCAGCAGCCGCGGUAAUACGUAGGUGGCAAGCGUUGUCCGGAUUUACUGGGCGUAAAGGAUGCGUAGGCGGAUGCUUAAGUCAGAUGUGAAAAUCCCGGGCUCAACUUGGGAACUGCAUUUGAAACUGGGUAUCUAGAGUGCGGGAGAGGAGAGUGGAAUUCCUAGUGUAGCGGUGAAAUGCGUAGAGAUUAGGAAGAACACCAGUGGCGAAGGCGACUCUCUGGACCGUAACUGACGCUGAGGCAUGAAAGCGUGGGGAGCAAACAGGAUUAGAUACCCUGGUAGUCCACGCCGUAAACUAUGAAUACUAGGUGUGGGAGUUGUCAUGACUUCCGUGCCGCAGUUAACACAAUAAGUAUUCCGCCUGGGGAGUACGGUCGCAAGAUUAAAACUCAAAGGAAUUGACGG